rnacentral:lncRNA from 1 species
UUCUAAACUAACAGCCAAAUGCAGGUUCUUUAUGGAAUGCUUUAAAAUUUUAAUAUUUCAUAGGAUAUAGAUACUCAGAAUCCAAAUUUAAUUGGUCUGGGAUGGUGUCUGGAUGAUAUUUUAUUAAAAACUCCAAGAUAAUACCAACGUGCAGCCAGAGCUAACAAUCUCCUAGAUCGUCAGCCUGCUCAGUGCGGGGAGAACACACCUGCCAAGGAGCUGUAGGAUAUUAUUCUUCUGGGACCCCUUUAGCACUAAAGGACAGCCAACCUCCCAACAGGAGAGAAGUCGUUUAACUAUGUAGCCAGCCUGGGUCAUCUGUGAAAAUAGAUUUGAAAUAUUAGUAUUUCAUUAGUUGGGGUUAAAAAAUAGUUUAAUCAUUAUAAUAUGCUUCCCUAGUUUAUAACUUACAUAUAUUUAUAUAUGUGAAAUUAUACACAUUUAUAUAUACAUAUAUGUGUAUAUAUUAUAUAUAUCUAUGUAGAGAGAGAGAGAAAAAAGAGGAAUGUCAGAGUGAGGAAGGAAGGGCGAGAGGGAGACAGAGAGAGAGAGAUCUAACGGGAUCAUGAGUAUUGAAAUACGGCUCUCUCUCAACAGAGUGGUUUUCCUGGACUGGGCAUCUUCUAGCUGUGUUCAUGCUGACUGACAGUCAGCAGUUCAUUAUAAAAAAACUUUGUUUUAUGCAAGGAAGAAUGGAAUAUGAUGUGUUGGAGAGAAGAUGAGCAUAAUAUAACUUAAUAAAUCAUCAACAGUACCUGAUACGGACUUCUUGUAAAUUAAAAACCUGAUUGGUUUCCUUGUCACACAUUUCCUAUUGCCCACAGAAACAUUUCUAAAAGUUCUUUUCUACAUCACAGAAUCAUCAUGAAGCUGGUUGGUCCUGUCCUGGUCACCACUCAAGAGGCCUUGGGAUCUGAAGAACACACAGGAGCAUGGUCUGGGGUUUACCCAGGAGGUCAUCCACAGUCUCACUCCACUGAAAUGCUUUCCUUCAAGGAGCCUUAGCACGUCUGGGGACACAGGGGAUGCUGAGGCCAUGCAAAGAAAAAUGCCACUAAAUUGUUUCCUAAAUGGUUGGAUUUAUUUCAAUGCUCACAUACAAUUGAAUGAGACAAACUAUUUACAUAAAACAUAAGUACAAAAAAUAUAAUACAAUUUAUACUGUACAUAAUCAGGAUUCUGUUAUUUAGUCCCCAAAAAUGUUGGCAGAUAGAGAUGAGGAGGGGGUUGUUAUGAAAGGAAGCUUGCUGCCCUGUUAGGAGUACUCAGGAUCAUUCUUCAUGAAGUUAUUGUUUAAAAAAGGUGAAUAGGUUUGGGUUAUAGAAACUGGCAAUUCACCAAGGGCAGUGAGUGAACAUGACAUCUUUACUUCUGUGAUGAUAGCUCAUUUUAUCUUAUAAAUAUGUUCGUUUUCCUCAGAGUUGAGGCUAGGAGCAGGUGUGUGUUGGUUUCUGCUGACUGGGUGGGUAUCUGCCCCCCGCCCCUCCCCCACUUCCCUUCUCUGAACUUCCAUGAUUGAUCCAGUGCAAGAGGCAAUGACCUCCCUGCCUGGGCUGCCACAAUCGGUGUCUUAAACUGACUUUUGGAAAUAAUGUAUGUGUCAGGUGUCAUUAACACACUUUCUUAGAUAUAGACCUGGACAGCUGUCAAGCAAGCAUUUAAGACCAGCAAAUUGAUGAACAGAGUAGAUAAAAGUGAAGACCAUUGGAAAUUUGUAUUGCACAUUUCUAAGAAUAAGGUUUCAAAAGACACCUUGAAAAUUGAAUGUAAGGACUGAAAAAAAGUGUGGUGCACCCAAUGGUCCUGUGAGGAAAUACCCAGCAAUCCACGAGCAUUCUCACAGGGCACCCAAGGCUCCAUCUUCUCAUUCAAAUGAAGGGGAAGGCAAUGUUAUCUUAUUCUAAAAAAGCUCCAAUAUAAUUAAUAUAUAUUGCCAUUUAAAAAUUAAUUUUAAGGUCAGUAACUUUCUGCAGUUUACCAAGGGCUGAAGUUAGCUUUGGAGAAGGUUCAAUGAAAAAAAAUGAAAUGAUCCCAAACAAGUUUAUUUUGUAUCACAAAAUAGCAACAGCAAACUAACACAGAAUGAGCCAUUUAACAUUUCAUAACAUCUUCAAAAGUCACAUCAAGUGGCAUAACACACAAAUUUUGUUACACACCUUUGAAGAAUCCUACUUGGACCAAGUUUGUGCAUUUUCUUUGCAGAUGAUGCAGAAGUUCAGCAGGUGCUUGGGUUGAAGAUUCACACUAUGCUUUCUUUCAAAGUGCAGAAGUUCAAGUUUCAUUUUGGCCAACAGUCAGGGUAUAGGGGCAAAGCAAUCAACUUUAGCACAGAAAACACUGUUAAUUUUCUUGACCCAAGUUAAGAGUGAUAACUUUGUGAACUUGUGAAAACAGUUUUGACAUUAAAAAAAGCCCAGCAGGCAAUGUGCUAGGUGGCUCUCAUUCCACUCACCAUUUCUGUGCCAGCCGUCACCCGCCUGUGUCUGAUUUUCCUGUAUCUAUACACUUGCCUGAAGAGGGACAGUGACAAAACCCUUUAACUUCUAAAGUGAUGUCAGUUUCUGGAAGGCUGAGACUGUUUCACCUAAAUUCUGACCACACCAUUGCCUAUCCUGGGGCCAUACCCGCAGUGGGGCCAAAA